rnacentral:rRNA from 1 species
GGAAUCUUCCACAAUGGACGCAAGUCUGAUGGAGCAACGCCGCGUGAGUGAAGAAGGUCUUCGGAUCGUAAAACUCUGUUGUAAGAGAAGAACGUGUGUGAGAGUGGAAAGUUCACACAGUGACGGUAACUUACCAGAAAGGGACGGCUAACUACGUGCCAG